UGGACAAAUUACUGUAUUCGACUAUAUUCACGGUGUGAAACAGGGGAUUACACUGAUUUUAAACGGAAGAAAGUGUAUCAAUUAAUAUAAUAGACUCAU
rnacentral:pre_miRNA from 1 species